UUUUUUGCUUUUUAGAGCCACACCUGCGGCAUAUGGAGGUUCCCAGGGUAGGGGUCUAAUCAGAGCUACAGCUGCUGGCUGCCGGCCUACGCCACAGCCACAGCAACCUCAGAUCCAAGCCGCAGCUCACAGCAACAUGAAAUCCUUAACCCACUGAGCAAGGUUAGGUAUCGAACCUGUGUCCUCAUGGAUGCUAGUCAGAUUUGUUAACCGCUGAGCCACGACAGAAACUCCAGCAUUCUUCUCUGCACAUUUAACUGUUUUUGCAGCUACUCAGUUUGCUUUGCUUUCAUCCAAACCCCAUCGCUCCUAGUUAAGAAUCUAAAUCACUCCAAAGGGAAAUAAGAUACAGUACAGCUAAACAGGCUCCCCAAGGACUUGGCAUCCCUGCAGAUAUGUGAUGGAGGAAGGCUUGAAACCUCCAGCCUUUACUCUUUCACUUUAGGGCACAGUAGCUUUUAAAAUUUAAAUUAAUUAAAAUGAAAUAAAAUAAAUUCAGUUUCUCAGCUGUACUAGUUAAACUUCAAGUGCCCCUGUGCUAAUAGAGCUCUGGUGGCUACUGUAUGACAGGGAAGACAGAGACCAUCUCAUUGUAGAAAGUUCUGUUGGAGAGCACUACCUCAGGGGAUACUGGUGGAGCUGUUAAGAAUUUCCUCUAAUAUACUAUCCACCCCACAGUACUCUAUCUGCUGAAUUUUAAAGUGCUCUGGUUAUACUGGUUACACUGCUUCUGACCAAUAUUCUUUGAAAUUUAUGAUACCAUACUGAGGCUUUCCUUUGUUUCCAAAGGAGAUGAGUUUCUUCCUCAUUUUAUUUUCAUCAAUGUAAUAUACAUGGAGAACAUCAUAAAAAUGCUCUGACGAAAUCUUGAUUUUUAUUUUUUUUUAUGUUUCUGCUUUUUAAGGCUGUACUCACAGCACAUGAAAGUUCCCAGGCUAGGGGUCGAAUCGGAGCUGCAGCCUGGGAAUUUCCAUUUGCUACUAAAAAAAAUGUAUUUUUUAAUUAAUCAAAACUUUGAGUACUUAGGUCCUUAGAGAAGAAGCUUACAUCUUCUUUGAGAUUACUGGUUAAUCACCAAGGACAUAGUGAUAGAGAGUAAUAACUAGCAUUUCUUUAGUACUUAUAGCUUACAAGUGUUUUCAAAAGCUGUUGUAGUGUUUUCUAAACACAUGUUUGAGGAAUGGAUCAUUCACGGUUAUUUGGGGAGCUUUGUGGGAAGUACAAAUUCCUGGACUCCUCUACUUAGAUAAGUAGACUCCUCUACUUAUUUACUAGGAGAAGAGGGAGGCAAAAAAAUAUGUGUAAAAGAAAAAAACUUCUCUAGGUGAUUGAAAUUCACCUAGACUUAGGAACUACUGAUGAAGUAAAAUAAGAACAGGUCCUGGGAACCCUUUUUAGCAUUCAAACUGCUUUCACAGUGUAAAACUGUAAGUCAAAAUAAACAUGAUAAAGAGUUCCCACUGUGGUGCAGUGGGUCAAGGAUCUGGUGUUGCUGCUGCUGUGACGUAGCUUGUAGCUGUGGCUCAGAUUCAAUCCCUAGCACAGGAACUUCCAUAUGCCACGACUGCAGCCAAACAAACAAACAAAAAAAUAGGGUAAAUGUUAACCAGUUGAAAUUGAUAAAUAUUAUUGAGAAUUAUUUAUAUCAAAGAUACUGAGUAAAGGCCUUAGUAGAGAAGCAAAGAUGGGGAAAAGAAAAUUCCUGCUCUCAAAACCCCCCCAAUACUUCAGAGAAGAAUACUUGUAAAUAAUCAUGCAAUUAUAUAUAACACUAGAAAAUAGAAGAGAUGUCAAUAUUUCUGAUGGGAAAUUAAGGUUGAACAGAAGAUGUGAUCACAGAUUUUUGUCUUAUCAAAUGAAAGGGUAUCUACCUAGUAGAAGAAUGGUGAGAUAGAUGAGGAAGGGAAGAGAAAACAUCAUUCCUAGCAAAGGAAACAUAUGAGAGGGUGAGAGAAGAAGCAUCAUACCCUUACAGAACUUGGAGAGAUCAGUCUGUCUUCAGUAUAUGGGGGAGAAUCGAAAGAAAGACCUGUGACUGGGAGGCAGGCAGGGAGUCUAUGAAUGAUCUUAUGCUAAGUGUGCAGACCAGACAUCAUUCUGCUGAACGACAUGAUUAGAGUUCUCAGGUUUACAACAAUUACCCUGGAAGAAGGAGUGAUGAAAAUAGGACUAAACUGAAAGCAGCUAGAUAGUUCAGAGAUUAUUAGAAAUAGUUCAGGCAAGAGAAAAGACAGACUUGACUAAAGCAGUGGCACCUGGGAUUAAAAGGAGGGAAAUGAUUAGACAUAUUUAGAAACUAGAAAUAACAUGACAUUUGUUCAGCUUAAGUGCUCAGAGAGGCCUUUCUGAUAUGCCCUGCCUGAGCCAUUACUCCUCCUCACACAACCUGGUUCACAGGAAUCACCAAAACGCAUAAUCAUAAUAUAAUAAUUAUGUAUCUAACUAUUGGCUUAUUUUCUGUCUCCCUCAAAUCCCAUCUGGGGUGAUCUUCGGUUUAUUUAUUUAAUUGUGUACACCAACAUCUAAUACAGCAAAUGGCACAGGGUGGUUAUCAAUAAACACUUGCUGGCUGAAUGAAUGGGAAGAGGAGUGAAAGGAAAAAAGUAGCUGGGAACCACCAGCUUUCCUGCUCAAAGUGCCUGAGCAAAUGAUGAUGUUAGUGAGAAUGUAAAACUAUGGAAGGAAGCACAGGUCUGGACAAGAGGAUUACCUGAGUGGGGGAGAGAUGGAGCAACCAAUUACGAGGUUACUGUACCCAAGCAUAACACGACACCAGACAAGAAGUAGUGAGAAGCUGACCCAGGAUGACGGCAAUAGGAGUGUAGAGGAUUUUAGAGAUACUAUAACUAUAGGGUAGAAUCUAUGAAAUUUGACAAGUGAUUACACAUAGGAGCAAAGAUUAUUACUCUGAAAGUUCAAAUAGAAAUACUUAAAAAUGGUGCUAUUGGUAUGGUUUAUCAAUGUGAAGUUGUGCAGAAACUUUUUGUUUUGGGAAGGGUAAAUGUGGGAGGAAGCUGAAUUUAUCUCAGAAAUACCGAGUUUAAAGUACCAGAGAAAAAAUGGAGGUAAAAAUGUCAAUUAGGCAGCCUGAAAUACAAGUUUAUAGAACACAAGAAAAGGUACAGCUUGAGUUUUAAAAUAUUGUUGGUCAUGCACUAAAGCGACAGUUAAAGCUGAGCAGAAGAAGAGAUCUCAGAAGUAAGAGACAUAUAUAUGUACAUGACUGAACAUAAAAAGGACCAAAUGUCAUGAAAACAAAAGAGAAAAGAAAAACUUAGGAACUACUUCAGGUUAAAGGAGACUGAAGAGGCAGGAUAACUAAAAGUAAAGCAAAAUUUAGAUGGGAUGCUAUGCAGAAAAAAACUGUUUUAAAAAGAUAUGCUUGGGACAACUAAUCAAAAAUGGGUAAAAUAUUAUUAUCAAUGUUGUUCUGAAUUUGAUAAGUAUACUGUGAUUAUAUAAGAAUAAUCUUACUCUUAGAAAAUAAACAGUGAAAAGGUAAAAGCAUAUGAUGCACUCAAUCUAUUAAACCAUUCAGAAAAAUGUGUGUGUGUGAGAGAGAGAAAAUAAGGAUGAUAAAACAAAUAUAGCAAAAUGUUACAAAGGUGUGAAUCUAGAUAAAAGAUAUAAAGGAGUUCUUUGCAUCAUUCUUGUAGCUUUUGUGCACAAAUGAAAUUUGAAAUAGGAGUUAAAGAAGAAAAAGAAUAGAAUGCUGGAGCAUACCUUUGAGUUUAUAAGGUCAACAGUGAAUUGAUCCCCUGAGAGUGAUGGCUGUUCAGAGUGAUUCAGGAUUGAGAAGAGAAGAGGUUUAUGUCCAGUAGGUAUGGAAACAGCUUUGUCUAAACCAACUGUUCCAUGUACACAACAAAAUAUGCUUACUAUAUAAAGAUGUCCUGUCCCACAGACUUUCAGGUUAACAAUACUAGGAUCCAUCAUUCAUUCUGCUGACAUAUAUAGUAAAUAUCCAUUUUGGUCAGAGAAGCCACCCAGACCUUCUCUGAGAAACAAGACUGACAGAAAACAACAUCAAAUUGCUCUGUGUAUGUAUGUAUUUUGACUCCCUGCACAAAAAUAUGCAAGAUACAUUCUUUUGAAGUGGAAGAGAAUAGGUGUAUCACUUAGAACCAGCAGUACCACUUAAGCCCAAUUGUAAGCAAUAAAUCAUCCAUGAAUGGUUAAAGGACUCCCUGGGCCAUUGUUUCCGCUGGGACAAGGAAUUUCAGAUCAGAUCAAUACCUAACAAAGAAAAAGGAAGACAGAUGAGAGGCAGAUAAAACAAAAUCCAUACAUUGUGAUCUGAACAUGAAAGUUCUUAUCAGCUCUUUCAAAGCCUUAUGUCUAGACUGAGAAGGAAUAGGUAUUCUUCAUCUCAGCAAUAAAUUGCUCACUGCUUUCAUGUACACCACAUUAUGUACUACAAAGUCCAAAGCCUUUAUUGGGAAAAGAAUGGAAUCGCUUCUGGUAACUUAGGACGUAAUGAGACCAACUUGAAAUAGCCUAUAUAUGCGGACAAAUAUACAUUAGAUGGAACAGCAGCUUAAAAGCCAGGAGAAAGUUUAAGAACACAAAGCUAGACUAUUUCAAUACAAAUGAAGCAAACCAAUGGGCAAAUAGAGCAUUUUAAGGAGAAAGAGAAAUCAAAUAACAAAAAGAUAAUUUUAUAAAGUCUGAAAAAUCAUUGUGUCAUAAUUAAUAAGAGGAUUUUGUAAAUUACUAAGGAAAAAAUCAAAUACUAAGAAAAUUAUUUAAGAAUUUAUUGUAUAUUCUUUCUUUCAUAAGGAAGUAUGUCAAAAGAGUAAUAACAGAGGAUUGAGAAUUAAGAAUUUAUGCAUUCAAAUUAUAAUUAUGAUGUGGAUUACUUUAUGCAAAAAUGAAAAAUAAGAAUAAUGUGAAUAAAAUUAUCAUAGAAUUUAAUAAGUAAAUGAGGUUUGGGAGUUCCUGUUGUGGCACAGUGGAAACGAAUCCGACUAGUAUCCAUGGGGAUAUGGGUUCAAACCCAGGCCUCACUCAGUGGGUUGGUAAUCCGGCGCUGUUGCUGUGAGCUGUGGUGUAGUUCGCCGAUGUGGGUCGUAUCCCACGUUGCUGUGGCUAUGGUGCAGGCUGGCAUCUGUAGCUCUGAUUCAACACCUAGCCUGGGAACUUCCAUAUGCUGCAGAUGCAGCCCUAAAACAGCAAAAAAAAAAGUAAACAUGGUUUAAGUACAGUACUCUAGCUUUUAUUUCAAAUCUCAAUAUCCUUUAUCCUAUGGAUUUAUAUUGCAAAUGACAUAUUUACUUGCCUGCUGAAGAAGCCAGCAGCAGAUUGAAAAAAAGGAUAAACAGGAGUUCCUGUCAUGGCUCAGCAGUAACAAAACCCACUGGCAUCUAUGAGGAUGCAGAUUCAGUCCCUGGCCUUGUUCAGUGGAUUAAGGAUCUAGUGUCGCUGUGAGCUGUGGUGUCACACCCACAGCAUUGUGUCGGAUCCCACAGCAUUGCUGUGGCUGUGGCAGAGGCUGGCAGCUGCAGCUCCGAUUGGACCCUUAGCCUGGGAACUUCUAUAUGCCAAGGUGUGGCCCUAAAAAGCAAAAGAUAAAUUAAAUACUACUAAUAAAAAACAGAUAAACAACAACAAAACAACAUAACAAUAUGACAAAAGGCAGAAUAAAGGCAUGUCAAAAUUGUUCCAUUCUUGGAGAUAAAGCACUAAAUGAAAAUUUAGGACAGCUGGCUUCCAUAUCAAGCUUUAAACUAAGCCAUACGUCAUAAAACUCAUUUAAUCUACUCACUAGAUCUCCUAUUCCCUCUUACUUUUAUCUUCUAUGAGAGAAAAAAAAAAAAAAAGAUAAAAUUUUACUAUCUCCAGAGAAGUUGUAGGGAUUGAAAGCAUAAUGAAAAUAAUAUUAAUUUAAAAAUACUUACAAACUUAAAAGCAUUCCAAAUACACUGAACUGUAGCUUUAAAAACAUCAAAAGAACUAUAACUGAAGAAAAAAUACUAUCAAAAUUAAUUCUGGAUUGCAAGCUUACACUUAGGAUUCAAACAUGGGCCUCGGAUGUAGGAUCCUACAGAAGUAACAGUGUAUUCAAAUUUAUUCUAGUCACACAGCUGGAGUUUAAAAAUUCCCCCUUUGUGGUAGAAUCCUCAGGGUGCUUACAGAGAUUCAGAGAAACAGAACAAGAGGUAAGAACUGUUCCCACUCACGAAAGCUGGGUA
rnacentral:lncRNA from 1 species